rnacentral:rRNA from 1 species
UACGUAGGGUGCGAGCGUUGUCCGGAAUUAUUGGGCGUAAAGGGCUCGUAGGCGGUUUGUCGCGUCGGGAGUGAAAACACCGGGCUUAACUCGGUGCUUGCUUUCGAUACGGGCAGACUAGAGGCAUGCAGGGGAGAACGGAAUUCCUGGUGUAGCGGUGAAAUGCGCAGAUAUCAGGAAGAACACCCGUGGCGAAGGCGGCUCUCUGGGACGGUACUGACGCUGAGACGCGAAAGCGUGGGGAGCAAACAGG